UGCCAGCAGCCGCGGUAAUACGAAUGGAGCAAGCGUUGUUCGGAAUCACUGGGCUUAAAGCGUGCGUAGGCGGACAUGAAAGUCAGAUGUGAAAGCCCAGGGCUCAACCCUGGAACUGCAUUUGAAACUCCAUGUCUAGAAUCCGGGAGGGGUGAGUGGAAUUCCUAGUGUAGAGGUGAAAUUCGCAGAUAUUAGGAGGAACACCAGUGGCGAAGGCGACUCACUGGACCGGUAUUGACGCUGAGGUACGAAAGCGUGGGGAGCAAACAGGAUUAGAUA
rnacentral:rRNA from 1 species